rnacentral:lncRNA from 1 species
UCCUGUGGCAUGUACGAGCACGGGGCUACGUGUGCGAUGCAGAGGAGGGUACGCCCUGCACCCAGUAAUCGACCGAAUAAUGGUCUCGUUUGGACUUUGGAGGACACAGCUGCAUUUCCUACUUGGAGCGAAGAAGCUGCAGGAGAAUAAGGUAAGGCGGGAGUUGUUUCGUCGACUCGCUGAAUAGAACCGAGAAGGUGAAUCCAUUUUCCAAGGAUUAAAAGAGAACCAUCCGAGAUCGCAAGGACUAGGUGCGAGUGACGGUCACUUCAGCUCUUUAGAAAAAGAUGAACGCCCGCCCCCUUGCCCUUGCCUAGUUGCC